UACGUAGGGUGCGAGCGUUGUCCGGAAUUAUUGGGCGUAAAGAGCUCGUAGGCGGUUUGUUGCGUCGGCCGUGAAAACUUGGGGCUUAACCCCGAGCCUGCGGUCGAUACGGACAGACUAGAGGUAGGUAGGGGAGAAUGGAAUUCCCGGUGUAGCGGUGAAAUGCGCAGAUAUCGGGAGGAACACCGGUGGCGAAGGCGGUUCUCUGGGCUUUACCUGACGCUGAGGAGCGAAAGCGUGGGGAGCGAACAGG
rnacentral:rRNA from 1 species